AGUGAUUUCCUGAGCUCUUUCGCAUAUGCUGUAUGGUAAGAAUGAAUUUCUGCCAGUUGAUACCGGUGACAGGUGUUAAUUAUUAAAUUUAUCUUUGUAUUUUUUUUUUAUUAAAGGUCAGAGAAUGGAUGGAUUAUCCAGUCACGGUACAUAAUGAAAGACUUGACUGAGUUAGAAGAAGCUGAGCGACUCUUCAAUGUGAAGAUGUUAUGAUGCAGUUGUGUCAAAGUACUCGUUUUGGCUGGCCAGAUUAGAACAGACCUGAAUGGGAAGAUGGCAGAGCUAAGACUGGCAAUGUCCAGGAAAAAUGUUAACUAAAAAUGAGUGUGUUUUUCCCCAGCGAGUGAGUUUGGGAAUGUUUUAAAUGUGCCUAGAAGUUUGAAAAUGUAAUACUGAGGGAAAAAAGUGAGCGCUUUGAAAAGGCUUUAAAAAGAAAAUAAAGUCUGAAGUUGAUGUUAAAUGAAAUUAAAGUUUUUAUUAGAAAAGUUUGUACUUGUUUGUACUUGUCAAGUCUGUGCUGA